rnacentral:rRNA from 1 species
GACGAACGCUGGCGGCGUGCUUAACACAUGCAAGUCGAACGGAAAGGCCCUGCUUUUGUGGGGUGCUCGAGUGGCGAACGCGUGAGUAACACGUGAGUAACCUGCCCUUGACUUUGGGAUAACUUCAGUAAACUGGGGCUAUUACCCGGUAUGAGCUCCUGCUGCAUGGUGUGGGUUGGAAAGUUACGGCGUUUGGGGAUUGACUCGCGGCUUAUCAGCUUGUUGGUGGGUUGGUGGCUUACCAAGGCUUUGACGGGUAGCCGGCUUGAGGGGGUGACCGGCCACAUAGGGACUGAGAAACGGGCAAGACUCAUACGGCAGGAAGCAGUGGGGAACAUUGCACAAUGGGCGGAAGCCGGAAGGAGGAACGCCGCGUGCGGGAUGACGGUUUUCGGGGUGUAACCCGCUUUCGCCUGUGAAGAAGAGUGAGUGACGGUAAUGGGUAAAGAAGCACCGGCUAACUACGUG